AUGGGCGGCGGCGACCUGUACGCCCUCGACUUCGACGGCGUCUUCUGCGACAGCUGCGGGGAGAGCUCCCUCUCCGCCGUCAAGGCCGCCAAGGUGAGGUGGCCGUGGGUGUUUGAGCAGGUCGACGCCGCCUUGGAGGAGUGGAUUGUGGAGCAGAUGCACACCCUUCGUCCAGUGAUAGAAACAGGAUAUGAGAACCUGUUGCUUGUAAGGUUGCUUGUUGAGAUCAAGAUACCCUCUGUUCGAAAAUCAUCAGUUGCAGAUGGCCUUAGCAUCCAAGAUAUAUUGGAGAACUGGUCAAAACUGUUGCCCACUCUCAUGGAUGAGUGGCAAGAAGAUAGGGAAUCUCUUGUAGAUCUCUUUGGCCGUGUAAGGGAUGACUGGCUUGAAAAUGAUUUGUCUGGCUGGAUAGGUGCUAACAGGUUUUAUCCUGGGACGGCUGAUGCUUUAAAGCUUUCAAGCUCUGAACUUUACAUAGUCACAACAAAACAGAGUAGAUUUACUGGAGCGCUACUCAAAGAAUUGGCUGGAGUAGAUUUUCCCUCUGAAAGGAUAUAUGGCCUUGGCACUGGUCCAAAGGUAAAAGUUCUCCAGCAGUUGCAGGAAAUGCCACAGCACCAAGGUCUAACACUUCAUUUCAUCGAGGACCGACUAGCGACUCUGAAGAACGUGAUGAAAGAACCAGCGCUGGACAAAUGGAACCUCUACCUGGUGAAAUGGGGAUACAACACACAGAAAGAGAGGGAAGAAGCAGGGGACAUACCAAGGAUCCAACUCAUUGAUCUCCCAGAUUUCAGUAAGCAGCUGAAAUAA
rnacentral:rRNA from 1 species